GUAGUGAAGGGCGAAUCUAGAAUUUACAGUUAGUUAAGUCAUCAUGCGAAUUAUUUUAGUAUAUUUCCACACAUUUAAAAUGUAUUUUAGACAUGAAAACAUUAUGUAAGACGAAAGUAAAGAAUUCAACUGGCGUCACAAAACUAGUGCAAAAUCCACAUCUUAGGCAACUCCCAAUCAAAUGCAUAAAUAAGAUUUGACAAUGCAAGUUUCACGGAUGCAAUUCUAAGUGUAAUCCCCGGACAUCCUCUUCUUCCUGCUCCAAAUGAAAUUAGGUUAUAGUCUUGUCCGUUGAGAUCGAUAUCACUAUUCAAGAAUCUCUCAGUUCUGCUAGUGUCUGAUCCAGCAACUAACACAUGCUACACAAAAAUUGACGAGGAAGAAGAUAAAAAUUGCCAAUGCAUGAGAAAUUCUCAAGAUAAUAAUUAACCCAUUGACCCACCCAUGUUUUAUGCAACCCACAUAUUUUCCUCCUCUACAUCUGUAAAAAUGUAGUAAUUGCACUUUCUUGAAACUAAAUAGAUGAAGCACACAAAAUUUUCUCAUUUCCCUCCAAUAGUUGUUAUACACAAAGUUAUUGGUAUUAAUUUUUUAUAUUUGUGAUAUAUGAUUAAGAACUUCUUUUACUGUCUGUUAAUUAACAUGUGUGUCUUUGCUUAUAUAGAAAACUAGUCUUCGGCACGUGCGUUGCACGUGUGCCCCAUUUUUAUUUGUGUUGAUUAAUUUGAACUAUACACACACACACACACAUUUUAUGAAGACAGUCGUGUUAUGAUACAGAAAAUACACCAUAUGCAAUUUUCAAUUUUCUAGAAGAUUGAAAAAAAAAUGUUGUAGCUUCUCCGUUUGAAAAAACUACAGAGAUCCUAAGCUCACUCAAGUUUCAGCUAAUGACCUUAAAGCACAGCUCAGGGGAACAACUUUACUGCUGAAAUCUGAUUUUAGUUGGGGCAUUCAAAACCUCUUCAAAAGAGAAGUAGCAUAAUAAUUUUGUGACAUGUUCAUUUAAGGGUGAAGCAUGUUACUGAUACCUAUCAUCCUUUUUUUAAAAACAAAAUGUCAGCAUCAAGAUGUCUUGAAUCCACACAUCAAGAAGUGAACAAACACUGAACUGGCAGGGAAAUUUAAUGUAAAUGGAUAGAGGAACUUGGUGACCUGGUAUGAGAAAAUAUCAAGCAUCCACUCCAAAUACUAUUUUCAAUAUCAAAUUAGCACGUAUAAUUUCAUGUGCCUCCUUUAUGUUCUGGCCAAAUGAAAUUUAGUUACAUUGUAAAGCAAGGCUAGAACUUUUCUGUCGUAGUGUUGUAAAUGUGUGUCGUUCAAUAUCAAAGUUUCACUGCAUGGCAUCUCGCAUCCCAACAACAUCCGUCACAUAAAACUUCACACAGUAGUUUUUUUUUAUCUUUUCCUUCUUCCAAUAACAAUAAAUGCAAUUAGAGACCAAGUACACAAACACAUAGAGCUUUACUUGCAUAUAUCAAAUAAAUAAAUGUAUGUCCCUUUUCUAACACAAACUUAACCUUCUAGACAGAGGCGGACCCAGGAUCUUGACGCAGAGGGGGCAUCAAUGAUCGCCCACUGCCUUAAUAUAAAUAUGUCACUUAUUAUGUAAAAGUUUGGCAUGCAACUCUUUGAAAACUUAAGAAUUAUGCUAAGUUAUUGGUAAAGCAGUAGUAUAAAGUAUAAAUUUCAAAAUUGGAAGAAACAAAAAUAGGUUUAGAACGGAAACAAAACAAACUCAACAAAAAAUAGAAAUAAAGGUACUGCAAGCGAGACUCGAACCUACGUGUCAUAUAAGGACCUAAGGGGCACAACAACCAAAUGCACCAAAGCAAUGGAUAUCUCUCAGGGGUCCUUUUAAAUACAUAUAUAUUUUUUAAGGUAUAUACAUCAUAUAUGUAUAGGAUAUUUCUGAGGUUAGGGGGGACACGUGACCCCCCCCCCCUCCUAAUAGGGUGGGUUCGCCCCUACUUCUAGAUAAAACAAUUUACAAAAUAAGGAAAAAGAAACAGACGAAUAUUACCAAAUCGCAAACUAUCACGCUUGAAGUCUGAUUUUGACAAAACAAUCUCAUCCAGAGGAUACAAAGAGCGCACUAAACUCAGGCAGCUGUUCCUUCCCCUACCUCCUCGUAGAAUGUGUAAUGCUAUGAUCCAAUCAAAUACUUCUUCUUGUCCAUUAUUCAAAACGGUCUCUUGUGCCGAUUGCACAAACACCUCAAUACUAUUGAACGCCAAGUAACCACAAACAAAUAUAGCUCAUUUGGAUCCCUAAAUUCUUCAUUAACCAAAGCAUAAACCAAAAAACUUUUUUUAAAACUUUUCAAAGUACUUACAAACUGACUCGAACAUGUUCAGUCACUUAAAAAGUACAAUUAUUAAAACCAGAUCCUUAAGAGAAAAAGAAGAUAACUUAGAACAUGAAAUCAGCAAUACAUAGCAGAGCUAAAUAGAGAGUCACAAACAUGAAAUCCCUGUCCAACAAAAACACACAAAGAUAGCCAAAAUAAAAACCGAAAGAAGUGCUACUCGCUCUAUCCCAAUGUAAGUGGCCUUUCGGAUUUCGAGAAUCAAACUUCUAAAUUUUGACCGUGAAUCCAUACAUAAGAGCUUUUAAGUUUUUCGAAAUAAAAUUCACAUAUUUGAAAACAGUACAUAAAAAUAGUACUAUAAAUCAGAAUAAUCAGCAUUUCAGAAUAUUCACUUCAAAGAAACUGAAAUUAGCUAUGAACUCGUCCCUAAUUCGUCGCUAAAGAUCUCUUGUGUUUAAAAUCGGUACCACAAACACAUAGCCAAUGUUACCCACAAUUUUUCUCAGGAGUUCUCCGGUCUCCUUUGGCGGUGAAAACAAAGUACCAGAAAACAAAAGUAACAAAAUAAUAGCAGUGACAUACAUACCUGGAGAACGUGUAUUUGAGCCAAAGAAAUAAGAUAAUUGACAAACACAUCGUCUUAUGGUGGACAUUUAUAUAGAGCAACAGAGAAU